AUAGAGAAAUACAAUUUGUAAUACGCUCCAAACAGUAUCUCUCCCCUUUCUUUUAAUGUUACUGUACCACAAUCAGGUACUAUUCUGUUGAAAACUAUGAAACUUGAAGCACUCAACUAUUAGAAACGUUGUAAGUAACGCAUACCAAUUUGUAACAGUAAGUUAUACAGUGCAGGAAUUGUCAAAUGUUAUAGCGAUGAAAACUUUUGAGACAUGGUGUUAAUAUGGAAUAGCCAUUUCUCAAAUGGUUUGUGAUUAUAUUUGCGCAGCACACUUAUACAUGUACAUAUCACAAUAUGCCACUUAAAUUCAACAGUCUGCCAAAUUGUUGCACAUAUCGGUAUUUGUGAAGACAAAACAUUUCAGUUUGCAGUUUUCUAGAAAAAAAAAAACGAAACCUUUCGUGACAGAGAAAAACCCAACUAAAAAGUUGCUGCAGCAAACGAAUUGGAGUGUUUGGAGCUGUGUGGAUUAGAAGAGAAUUCAUGAACUUUCUUCAACAACAAGAGAUUCAUUCCGCCUGACUCUGUGCGGCUGCGAGGGAUUCCGCAAAAGGGAGGCUAGAAGGACACCUCUUGAUGUAUGCUGAAAAUGGUAUGGAAUCCGUUCCCAUCCGGAGGAAGGCCCCGGAAUCGGCGUAGGUGC